GGAUAGCUCAGGGGAUAGAGCAGCGGUUUCCUAAACCGUUGGUCGCAGGUUCAAAUCCUGUUCC
rnacentral:tRNA from 1 species